rnacentral:ncRNA from 2 species
UUUCGUGAUCUGGGGUGCCCAAAUGGCUGAGAAAUACCCAUUGAACCUGAUGCAGUUAAUACUGUCGAAGGAAGAUCAGGCACUACCAGU